rnacentral:rRNA from 1 species
UNUGAAGUUAAAGGCAUUGGCUCAANCAAUGUAUGCUUUGGAAACUGUUAGACUUGAGUGCAGAAGGGGAGAGUGGAAUUCCAUGUGUAGCGGUGAAAUGCGUAGAUAUAUGGAGGAACACCGGUGGCGAAAGCGGCUCUCUGGUCUGUCACUGACGCUGAGGCUNGAAAGCGUGGGUAGCGAACAGGAUUAGAUACCCUGGUAGUNCACGCCGUAAACGCUGAGUGCUAGGUGUUAGGUCCUUUCCGGGACUUAGUGCCGACGCUAACGCAUUAAGCACUCCGCCUGGGGAGUACGACCGCAAGGUUGAAACUCAAAGGAAUUGACGGGGGCCCGCACAAGCGGUGGAGCAUGUGGUUUAAUUCGAAGCAACGCGAAGAACCUUACCAGGUCUUGACAUCCCGAUGCCCGCUCUAGAGAUAGAGUUUUUCUUCGGAACAUCGGAGACAGGUGGUGCAUGGUUGUCGUCGGCUCGUGUCGUGAGAUGUUGGGUUAAGUCCCGCAACGAGCGCAACCCUUAUUGUUAGUUGCCAUCAUUAAGUUGGGCACUCUAGCGAGACUGCCGGUAAUAAACCGGAGGAAGGUGGGGAUGACGUCAAAUCAUCAUGCCCCUUAUGACCUGGGCUACACACGUGCUACAAUGGUUGGUACAACGAGUCGCAAGCCGGUGACGGCAAGCUAAUCUCUGAAAGCCAAUCUCAGUUCGGAUUGUAGGCUGCAACUCGCCUACAUGAAGUCGGAAUCGCUAGUAAUCGCGGAUCAGCACGCCGCGGUGAAUACGUUCCCGGGCCUUGUACACACCGCCCGUCACACCACGAGAGUUUGUAACACCCAAAGUCGGUGAGGUAACCAUUUAUGGGGCCAGCCGCCUAAGGUGGGANGGAUG